AUUGAACGCUGGCGGCAGGCCUAACACAUGCAAGUCGAGCGGAUGAAGGGAGCUUGCUCCUGGAUUCAGCGGCGGACGGGUGAGUAAUGCCUAGGAAUCUGCCUGGUAGUGGGGGAUAACGUCCGGAAACGGGCGCUAAUACCGCAUACGUCCUGAGGGAGAAAGUGGGGGAUCUUCGGACCUCACGCUAUCAGAUGAGCCUAGGUCGGAUUAGCUAGUUGGUGGGGUAAAGGCCUACCAAGGCGACGAUCCGUAACUGGUCUGAGAGGAUGAUCAGUCACACUGGAACUGAGACACGGUCCAGACUCCUACGGGAGGCAGCAGUGGGGAAUAUUGGACAAUGGGCGAAAGCCUGAUCCAACCAUGCCGCGUGUGUGAAGAAGGUCUUCGGAUUGUAAAGCACUUUAAGUUGGGAGGAAGGGCAGUAAGUUAAUACCUUGCUGUUUUGACGUUACCGACAGAAUAAGCACCGGCUAACUUCGUG
rnacentral:rRNA from 1 species